rnacentral:rRNA from 1 species
GAUGAACGCUGGCGGCGUGCCUAAUACAUGCAAGUCGAGCGAACAGACGAGGAGCUUUCUCCUCUGACGUUAGCGGCGGACGGGUGAGUAACACGUGGAUAACCUACCUAUAAGACUGGGAUAACUUCGGGAAACCGGAGCUAAUACCGGAUAAUAUAUUGAACCGCAUGGUUCAAUAGUGAAAGACGGUUUUGCUGUCACUUAUAGAUGGAUCCGCGCCGCAUUAGCUAGUUGGUAAGGUAACGGCUUACCAAGGCAACGAUGCGUAGCCGACCUGAGAGGGUGAUCGGCCACACUGGAACUGAGACACGGUCCAGACUCCUACGGGAGGCAGCAGUAGGGAAUAUUCCGCAAUGGGCGAAAGCUUGACGGAGCAACGCCGCGUGAGUGAUGAAGGUCUUCGGAUCGUAAAACUCUGUUAUUAGGGAAGAACAAAUGUGUAAGUAACUAUGCACGUCUUGACGGUACCUAAUCAGAAAGCCACGGCUAACUACGUG